rnacentral:lncRNA from 1 species
GACAAAGUCAAUAAAAAUCAAACAAAGAACCCAAGCAGAAGCGUAACCUUGCAACAGGCUAGAGCUGCACCCGGAAGCAAGGAUGGAACGGGAGCGGCCCCAUUGGUCAAUGGCCUCCCAGAACUGCUGAGAACAUCAGUUGAGACAGAAGCGCUUCAGGUGUGGGCCCUGGACCAGCAGCAUCCAUCUCACCUGGGAACAUGUUGGAAAUGCAAGUUCUCCCCCUCCCCAGAUCUCCUAAAUCAGAUCCUCAGGGGUGAGGCCAGCACGCUGUGUUUGAACAAGCCCUCGCACUGAUUCAGACGCAUGCUCUGCCACAGGCACAAGGUGACAGGUGUCAAGGGAAGACAGAAAGACAGAGAGACAAAAGGGAGCUACUGGCAGUACCAACAGCCAAGACCUGGGGCUCUCUCCUCCUGCCUCCAGGAGGCCUGAUUUUCCCUUCCCUGCCUCCCUGCAGAAGUUCAAGGCUGUUCUUUAUGAAAGAACUUACAGGUGGCCUCAGGCCCCCUGUUGAAGGUCAUGGUAUCUUCCCUCGUGUCCUUUCCCAGUCCAGGAGCACUCGGCCGUGACCCCCGAGAGAUCCAUGCCCUGUCAUGCGCCUGCCUCUUGGCCUCUCUCCAGGCUGAUAACUGCUGCAGUGCCAAGGAGGGCCCUGCCCUUUGCCUCUGUGCCCCCAUUGCCAGGGUUUCCUGUUCAGCUGUGAAGGGCUCCCUUGAUUGCUCCAGACUCUGGAAUCUGGGAACACUUCAAGCAGAAAGUUUAUAAUUCACCUCCCAAUUCUUUCAGCCCUGUGAACUGCCUACUGCUUGAAAAACAAAAAACAUCAAGUGACUGCUGAUUAUGGACUAGAACAGAAAUCAUGCAAAUAUUCUUACUUUGGCUAAGUUAAAAUAGAUUCCAAGGCACGGGCUUUGGCAUGGCGGAAGCCAGGGCCCUCCAUCCAGAUUGGCUGUACCAGGUGACUUCCCUGAGCCCGCAGUUUUCUCACUGAAAAUAAUAAUUGCUAUUACUGUUAUCA